GAUGAAGAACGUAGCGAAAUGCGAUAAGUAAUGUGAAUUGCAGAAUUCAGUGAAUCAUCGAAUCUUUGAACGCACAUUGCGCCCCUUGGUAUUCCGAGGGGCAUGCCUGUUCGAGCGUCAUUAUAACCCUCAAGCUCAGCUUGGUGCUGGGGCCUGCUGCACUGGCAGCCCUUAAAAUCAGUGGCGGCGCCAUCUGGCUCUAAGCGUAGUAAUUCUUCUCGCUAUGGAGUCCUGGUGGAUGCUUGCCAUCAACCCCCAAUUUUUCUAUGGUUGACCUCGGAUCAGGUAGGGAUACCCGCUGAACUUAAGCAUAUCAAUAAGCGGAGGA
rnacentral:misc_RNA from 1 species